rnacentral:rRNA from 1 species
UACAGAGGAGCCAAGCGUUGUCCGGAUUGACUGGGCGUAAAGCGCACGCAGGCGGUCGCGCGCGUGGGGUGUGAAAUCCCACAGCUUAACUGUGGAACUGCUUGGUAUACUGGUUGUCUUGAGUCAUCUAGGGGCGAGCGGAACAAGUGGUGGAGCGGUGAAAUGCGUAGAUAUCACUUGGAACGCCAACGGUGAAAACAGCUCGCUGGGGAUGUACUGACGCUGAGACACGAAAGCCAGGGGAGCAAACGGG